rnacentral:rRNA from 1 species
AUUGAACGCUGGCGGCAGGCCUAACACAUGCAAGUCGAACGAGUGGCGGACGGGUGAGUAAUUUCUGGGAAACUGCCUGAUGGAGGGGGAUAACUACUGGCAACGGUAGCUAAUACCGCAUACCAUCGGAUGUGCCCAGAUGGGAUGAGCUAGUAGGUGGGGUAAAGGCUCACCUAGGCGACGAUCCCUAGCUGGUCUGAGAGGAUGACCAGCCCCACUGGAACUGAGACACGGGCCAGACUCCUACGGGAGGCAGCAGUGGGGAAUAUUGCAAAAUGGGCGCAAGCCUGAUGCAGCCAUGCCGCUUGUAUGAAGAAGGCCGUCGGGGUGUAAAGUACUCUCAGCGGGGAGGCGUUACCCGCAGAAGAAGCACCGGCUAACUCCGUGCCAGCAGCCGCGGUAAUUC